rnacentral:misc_RNA from 1 species
UCGGGCAGCGACAAUAUCUCGUGCAAGCCUUUUCAUUGUUGGAACAAGUGCUUUUGCCUUGUCCUCAUCGGAUUUCCUGUGUUGUAUACCUAUUGUAAAGGCAUCCAUUCGGUUAAAAAUGUCCCUUUUCCACUGAGUCUCAUUUCAUUCGUGAAACGAUGCGAGGUGGAACUCCAAGGACGAUGUGUGUGUUUCCUCUUUCCCUCACAAUUGUGUUGGGAUCUUGGCCCAUGCAUAUCGUACGAUCUCUCGGGUUCGGAAUAUAAUUUCGGUACAUGGCACUCGUGCCACUAUAAGUCCCGUAAAAGCGUUCAACGCUUCGAGCGAACGACUGUCGCAGCUGUUAUCAUUCGAGUCCUCGUGGCUUGACUGAGGCGGUUUCGGCGUCGAUGAGGAAUGC